GAAGAGAAGACUUGGGCCUGGUUUACAGAUGGUUCUGCAUGACUUAAGCGGAAACAUCAGCUCUUCCUGGGUCUUGAGUCUGCCAGCCUUUGAACUGGAACUACACCAUUAGUACUCCUGGGUCUUCCUCCUGACAACUCACCUUGCAGAUAUUGGGACCUGUCAACCUACACAAUCAUGUAAAAGAAGUAACCUUGAUGGAAAUGAAAUACUUAUAACUGAACAAUAAUGAAAAUACUACAUAUCUAUACUUAUGGAGAAGCAGUAG